UACGUAGGGUGCAAGCGUUGUCCGGAAUUAUUGGGCGUAAAGGGCUCGUAGGCGGUCCGUCACGUCGGGAGUGAAAACUUGGGGCUUAACCCCAAGCCUGCUUCCGAUACGGGCGGACUAGAGGUAGGCAGGGGAGAACGGAAUUCCUGGUGUAGCGGUGAAUGCGCAGAUAUCAGGAGGAACACCGGUGGCGAAGGCGGUUCUCUGGGACGGUACUGACGCUGAGACGCGAAAGCGUGGGGAGCGAACAGG
rnacentral:rRNA from 1 species